GACGAACGCUGGCGGCGUGCUUAACACAUGCAAGUCGAACGGAAAGGCCCUGCUUUUGUGGGGUGCUCGAGGGGCGAACGGGUGAGUAACACGUGAGUAACCUGCCCUUGACUUUGGGAUAACUUCAGGAAACUGGGGCUAACACCGGAUAGGAGCUCCUGCUGCAUGGUGGGGGUUGGAAAUUUUCGGCGGUUGGGGAUGGACUCGCGGCUUAUCAGCUUGUUGGUGGGGUAGUGGCUUACCAAGGCUUUGACGGGUAGCCGGCCUGAGAGGGUGACCGGCCACAUUGGGACGGGGAUACGGCCCGGACUCCUACGGGAGGCAGCAGUGGGGAAUAUUGCACAAUGGGCGGAAGCCUGAGGCAGCAACGCCGCGUGCGGGAUGACGGCCUUCGGGUUGUAAACCGCUUUCGCCUGUGACGAAGCGUGAGUGACGGUAAUGGGUAAAGAAGCACCGGCUAACUACGUG
rnacentral:rRNA from 1 species